ensembl:lncRNA
GGCGAGCUCCUUGUGGAGCAGAAGCUGCUUGCUGAUUGGCUGAAGCGUGACCUUCGAGCCUCUGACACUGGUGGCCAGAGAAUCCAGAGCAGCCCUCUGACCAAUCAGCGGCCAGCUCAUCUGACCAGACAGCCUGUCCGCUGUGGCUCUGCAGGCAGCAGAAAGGCGUACAGCAGUCCCUGUGACCUCAGCUUGGAGAGGUUGUCGGCCACGAUGAAGACCAGUAACCAGCUGCUGCUGGCCCAGCUGGAGGAGCAGGAGCAGGUGCUGCGGCUGCCCAGCGGAACGAGAGGCAGAGAGAGCCAGGAGAGAGAAGAGCCAGAGAAGAGCGGAACGAGAGGCAGAGAGAGCCAGGAGAGAGAAGAGCCAGAGAAGAAGGACAAGAAGAGGACUGUCAGGUACUCACCAUGGGCUUCAGUCCUGUUCCUGCCCCAACCAUCUUUCCCUGUGUUCCAUCUUUCCCUGUGUUCCACCCUUCCCUGUGUUUCAUUUCUCCCUGUGUUCCAUCUUUCCCUGUGUUCCAUCCUUCCCUGUGUUCCAUCUUUCCCUGUGUUUCAUCUUUCCCAGUGUUCCAUCCUUCCCUGUGUUCCACCCUUCCCUGUGUUCCAUAUUUCCCUGUGUUCCAUAUUUCCCUGUGUUCCAUCUUUCUCUGUGUUCCAUAUUUCCCUGUGUUCCAUCUUUCCCUGUGUUCCAUUCUUCCCUAACAUACCUAACUGAACUGCACUAACUGAAUCUCAAACAGAUCUCUGUUGAACCGCACCUUCACUCGCAAACACGCCACAGACGCGAACACAUCGACCCCUGACCCCCAGGGCACGUCUGGGCUGCGGCGUGUGUGUGAGGGGCAGGCCAGAGUGUGUGACGGCCAGUCUGUUCUGGUCAGCGAGCUCCUGAUGAACAAGGCACUUUUGGAGAAGAGAAGAGACGAUCUGAGCGGCCGGCUGACUGAAGGGAACACACACACAGAACAAGACGACCGCGCUCUCCACCAGCUCGAGGAGACCAUAGAGGCUGUGGACGCUGUGAUUGGCCUGCGUCGUCAUCCAGACCAGCAGGGGGCCACAGGGAGGCAGCUCAGCGAGAGCUCUACUGCUGUAGGUAGUCUGAGAGUCCUGAAGGAGCUCUCUCUGCAGGAGGCAGAAGCUCUCUUCCAUGUGUACUUCAGCAAGGCGGUGUGUCUGCGGGAGAGCUGCGCGUCACAGCAGAGGCGUGUGUGUGAGCUGGAGGAGCUCCUGUCCGUGGAGCGAGAGCAGAGCUCCAGGAGGCUCCAGCAGCUGGAGAAGGAGGUGUUCUUCUACAGGAGCAGCAGCCGCGAGCUUCGGCGGAGGCUCAAGGACCUGGUGCAGGACGCCCCCUCGCCCCCCUCCAGCAGGGCCUCGUGCACCAGAGGCAGCGGGGAUGGAGGCCACAGCCAGGGAGGGGCGCCCGACUGACGUGAAGCGCCCCGCCCCGCCCCGCCCCGCCGUAAACACAAGCACUCGAUCUGCACUUCUCUGCAUCUUGUUGUCCCUAAUCAUUACAUCCAGAUGAACACUGAAUCAAACUUACUUGUGUCUGCUCAGAUCCCAGUCACCACGACGACCCUCACCACUCACUGAACGCAUGAUCAGCCCUCAGUAUGCUUUCUCAACUCAUUUCUAAGUGAGCUGUCAGCUGAGCAUUUCUCCUGUACUCCUGUGGUUUUAUCUAUUGUGUGUUUUUUGUAAAUUUUUAUGAUUCAUUCAGUUAAAUAAUAUAUAUAUAUUUUUUUCUAAUUCUAAUCUGGUGUAUUGUGUGAUAAUAAUAUUGAAUACAAGAGCAUUUUUAAUACUUAAUGUGUUUAUUUUAGCUUUAGUGCAGUACACAAAUGGUUGUCUUGCCGUUCUGUAAGAUAUACUCAGCGUUGAAAAGUCACCUGUUUGUUAAGUGACUGUGUUUGAGGGUGAUCCCUUAGGACAGCAGGUCAAACGCAUGACCCCCAGGAGACGGGGAAGUCUGACGUGUGCUCUGACUCUCUGAUGCGUGUCAUAUAUGAUAAGAUCAGCCUAACGAACGUUACCAUGACAAACAACAGGCCUCGCUCACACGUUGUGUUCACAAAUAUUACUCCGUUUACCGUUUAUCGUUACCGUUUACAAAUACGUCACAUAUUAUUUUGUCUGAAAAGUCGUACAUAUGAAACGUCUUAAAAAUAACCAGUAAUCGAAUUGGCAAAUACCAACUCGACACUACCCAGCUAUCACGCUGUUGAUGAACGGAAAGAAAAUUGGUUUAAAUUUGAUUAAAAAAAUAUUAAAAUAAACGUUUAGUUCGUCAACA